GGCAACCGCCUCUGAAGGAGGUGCUAUCAUGAGCGACUUUCUUGACCAGAUUAUCGCCCCGCUCUUUGUGGGAGUGAUACUCUUGUUGCUUGAUCAUUGGUUGAAUGAUCAGCGGUAAUCUCAUGGUUGCCAUCAACCCACACGCCUAGCC
rnacentral:ncRNA from 1 species